rnacentral:rRNA from 1 species
UACGGGGGGGGCAAGCGUUGUUCGGAAUUAUUGGGCGUAAAGGGCGCGUAGGCGGCUUUUCAAGUGACGGGUGAAAUCCCUCGGCUUAACCGAGGAACUGCCUGUCAGACUGGAAGGCUUGAGACCGGGAGAGGUGAGUGGAAUUCCCAGUGUAGCGGUGAAAUGCGUAGAUAUUGGGAGGAACACCAGUGGCGAAGGCGGCUCACUGGACCGGAACUGACGGCUGAGGCGCGAAAGCGUGGGGAGCAAACAGGG